rnacentral:rRNA from 1 species
GACGAACGCUGGCGGCGUGCUUAACACAUGCAAGUCGAACGGAAAGGCCCUGCUUUUGUGGGGUGCUCGAGUGGCGAACGGGUGAGUAACACGUGAGUAACCUGCCCUUGACUUUGGGAUAACUUCAGGAAACUGGGGCUAAUACCGGAUAGGAGCUCCUGCUGCAUGGUGGGGGUUGGAAAGUUUCGGCGGUUGGGGAUGGACUCGCGGCUUAUCAGCUUGUUGGUGGGGUAGUGGCUUACCAAGGCUUUGACGGGUAGCCGGCCUGAGAGGGUGACCGGCCACAUUGGGACUGAGAUAAGGCCCAGAAUCAUACGGGAGGCAGCAGUGGGGAAUAUUGCACAAUGGGCGGAAGCCUGAUGCAGCAACGCCGCGUGCGGGAUGACGGCCUUCGGGUUGUAAACCGCUUUCGCCUGUGACGAAGCGUGAGUGACGGUAAUGGGUAAAGAAGCACCGGCUAACUACGUG